rnacentral:lncRNA from 1 species
CCCCGAAGCAGGAGCGGCGACGGCGUCCGGAGCAGCAGCGGGCGGAGGAGCGCGAGGCGGAGCGCGAGGCCAGGAAGGUCAGCAGGAGCAUCGACCGCAUGCUGCGCCAGCAGAAGCGCGACCUGCAGCAGACGCACCGGCUCCUGCUGCUGGGUUUUCACCAUACAAAGCAAUUCAAUGUGCCAAAGAGAACCAGUGGGACACCAAGGGGGACGACACACCAGAGUUCCAGCAGAACUCCCAGUAGGGGCCCAGGAAUACUGUGGGUCAGGGUAUCAGGGCAAAGGGAGGGGGUGGCCGGUGACCAAGUGGUGACGCCAGUUUCCCCCGCAUGAAUCCACCCCUGUCCUGCUAACCCACAGAUGCCAAGGGCUGGCUCCAUGCCUGGCCACCCACCAGCGCCCUCCCCAGUCCCUGGAACCAGCCUGGUGGCCUGUGGUGGGGUCUUC